rnacentral:lncRNA from 1 species
GCCAAGAUGGUCUCGAUCUCCUGACCUUGUGAUCUGCCUGCCUUGGCCUUCCAAAGUGCUGGGAUUACAGGUGUGAGCCACCGCGCCCGGCCUAGCAUAUAUAUUAAAAUUGGAUGUUACGAAGAAGAUUAGCAUGCCUCCUGUGAAAGGAUGACAUGCUGACGUGGAAAUUCGUGCUCCAUAUUUUUUCUUAACUGGUAAAUUACUAUUUAAUAGUGAAUCACCCAACAUUGUGGGGUUUUUUUGUUUUUUUGUUUUUUUUUUUUGAGACAGAGCCUCACUGUGUCUCAGCCUGGAGUGCAGUGGCAUGAUCUUGGCUCACUACAACCUCCACCUCCUGGGUUCAAGCGAUUCUUCUGCCUCAGCCACCUGAGUAGCUGGGAUUACAGGCCGGCCCAUGCCACCACACGCAACUAAUUUUUGUAUUUUUAGUAGAGAUGUGGCUUUGUCAUGUUGCCCAGGCUAGUCUGGAACUCCUGGCCUCAAGUGAGGCCCACCUCAGUCUCCCAAAGUGCUGGGACUACAGGCAUAAGCCACCGCUCUGGGCCUGUAUUUCUAAUAUAUAUAUAUACAAGAUCAUUUAUGUAGUUUACUGCCAAAAAUGGAAGAAACCUCAUCAUGAAGAGACAUUUAGAAAACCUAAAUUGAUGAACAUUCUAAAAAUCUAUUUGUCUGUGAAGACUAAGCUCUGAUUUUUUUUUUUUCAUCUUGCCUAAAUUCCUAUCUUAAGGGUCUGGAGAGUCAUGGCCUACAAACUAUAAAUUCUCAUCAGAUGGGUUUGAUUUAACCCUAUAUAUCGUGACUUACUUUCCAAUCUGACUCUGGCAUAACAUUAUGUGACAAAGAAGAAAGUCAAAAUAUUUUACCCCAAAACAUGUUUCUUUGCCAUAUUUUGAAAUGGCCCUGCACAGCUGUCCUUUGGAGGGGAAGAUUCACAUCUGUAAAGAAUCUCUAUUAACAUAGCUAUAUCUUUUUCUUCCAGGCCCUCCGAACCCUGAAGAGAUCAUCAUAUAUAUGUGCUGCCGAAGCGAGCACUCCUGAAGAGAUUAACUAAGAGUCUAGCACCUUUUAAGUUAGAAGAGACUGCCCACAUAGGGAGAGUGGCACAGAGGAGAGUAACAUCAAUCAACAGCGAAUAUGCACUUGAUCGCGGUCUAAUCAGCACCAGGCACCUCAGGGCAGCAGUAUUGUCAGACGCAUUGGAACCAGAGGGACUCCAUCUUGAAUAAGGUCUGGGUAAAAUGAGGCUAACACCUACUGGGCUGCAUUCCCAGGAGGUUAAGCAUUCUUAGUCACAGGACAAGAUAGGUCAGCAGGACAAGAUAGAGGUCAUAAAGACCCUGCUGAUAAAACAAUGCCAUAAAGAAGGCAGCCAAAACCUGCCAAAACCAAGGUGGUGAUGAAAGUGACCUCUAGUUGUCCUCACUGCUCACUAUACGCUAAUUAUAAUGCAUUAGCAUACUCAAAGACACUCCCAGCAGCACCACGACAGUUUACAAACGCCAUGGCAACAUUAGGAAGUUACCCUAUAUGGUCUAAAAGGGGAGGAACCCUCAGUUAGGGUAAAUCCCUGCCCUUUUCCUGGAAAACUCAUGAAUGAUCCACCCCUUGUUUAACAUAUAAUCAAGAAAUAACUAUACGUGUACUCAGUUGAACAUCCCGUGCCACUGCUCUGCCUAUGGAGUAGCCAUUCUUUUAUUCUUUUACUUCUCUAAUAAACUUGCUUUCACUUUACUUUAUGAACUCGCCCCAAAUUCUUUCUUGUGCAGGAUCCAGAACCUUCUCUUGGGGUCUGGAUUGGGACACCUUUCCUGUAACAGUAUUAGUCAUAACUAUUAUCUGAAAAAGUAUAUUUAUAUGGUACUUUACAAAUUCAAUUUUGCACAAUAGACUCUGACUUAUGUCAUUCUCACAAUCACCCCAUAAUGUCAAUCCUCCCAUUUCACAAUAAAGAAAUUGAGGCUCAGGCUGGAGACGGUGGCCCACACUUAUAAUCCCAGCACUUUGGGAGGCUGAGGCAAUGGGAUCAUUUGAGGAUCGGAGUUUGAAACCAGCAUGGGCAACAUGGUGAGAUUCCAGUUCUACAAAAAAAAAAAAUGUUUUUGGCCGGGCGCGGUGGC